rnacentral:rRNA from 1 species
CCUACGGGAGGCAGCAGUAGGGAAUUUUCGUCAAUGGGCGCAAGCCUGAACGAGCAAUGCCGCGUGAAUGAGGAAGGUCUUCGGAUCGUAAAGUUCUGUUGAAGGGGAAAAAGAGCGGAGAGAGGAAAUGGUCUCCGAUUGAUAUUACCCUUCGAGGAAGUCACGGCUAACUACGUGCCAGCAGCCGCGGUAAUACGUAGGUGGCGAGCGUUAUCCGGAAUGAUUGGGCGUAAAGGGUGCGUAGGCGGCCUGCUAAGUCUGGUGUGAAAGGUACCGGCUUAACCGGUACAGGCUCUGGAAACUGGCGGGCUAGAGAGCAGGAGAGGGCGGUGGAACUCCAUGUGUAGCGGUAAAAUGCGUAGAUAGAUGGAAGAACACCAGUGGCGAAGGCGGCCGCCUGGCCUGUUACUGACGCUGAGGCACGAAAGCGUGGGGAGCAAAUAGGAUUAGAUACCCGUGUAGUC